UACGUAGGGUGCGAGCGUUAAUCGGAAUUACUGGGCGUAAAGCGUGCGCAGGCGGCUUUGCAAGACAGAUGUGAAAUCCUCGGGCUCAACCUGGGAACUGCAUUUGUGACUGCAAGGCUAGAGUACGGCAGAGGGGGAUGGAAUUCCGCGUGUAGCAGUGAAAUGCGUAGAUAUGCGGAGGAACACCAAUGGCGAAGGCAAUCCCCUGGGCCUGUACUGACGCUCAUGCACGAAAGCGUGGGGAGCAAACAGG
rnacentral:rRNA from 1 species